UUGACCAAGUCAAGGCUCUCAUCCUCUCACACGUGAAGGGAUUAAUCCCUUUCUUGACUAGGUCAAUUUUCCUCAUAACGAACUCUUUUGAUGCGACUUGGCAUUCAAUUAUAUGGACUCAAUUUAAGAACUCAAUUCAGCAAAUCAUGAAUCUAUUUAGGACUUAAUCUAGAACCCAAUGUGAAUUAAAUCACUUACUACAUGGACUCAAUCUCAUUACAACUUAGGCUCAAUUUUUUCUCACACAAGGACUCAAGCACACAACUCCUAAAUUAAAUAAAGAUCCUUCAACGCCUUGGAGUCAGUUAAAUCAGGCGUUGGGACAAUUAAACCCAAUGUGACUUGAUGCUGAAAAUCUUGGACUCACUAUAAUUUAUUGCUGGAACUUUGUGGACCCCAUGUGAUUUGGUGCUCACCCAAAGAAGGGACUCAAUCACCACGUGCGCCUCUGGCUUGGGCUCAUACUCCUACAUCAAUCUCUUAGAAAGAGUUGACCAUGUCUAUCCUCCUC
rnacentral:lncRNA from 1 species